rnacentral:sRNA from 1 species
CCCGCGUUUGACCAAAUCCGCACACGUAUCGUCACCGUUUUCGGGGUGCCUCUCCGGAGGUCGCAGACGGCGGAUACGUGGAGGUCUCAAC